GUUCUCGCCCGACGAAUACCUGCAGGGCUUGUUUUGGUAAUGCCUUUCUCCCAUUUAUGGGCUACCCUAGUGGCCUGAGUACAUGACCCGGCGGGUUUGUGCCGGGUCAUUUA
rnacentral:ncRNA from 1 species